UACAGAGGGGGCAAGCGUUGUUCGGAUUUACUGGGCGUAAAGGGCGCGUAGGCGGCGUGACAAGUCACUUGUGAAAUCUCCGGGCUUAACUCGGAGCGGCCAAGUGAUACUGUCGUGCUAGAGUGCGGAAGGGGCUACUGGAAUUCUCGGUGUAGCGGUGAAAUGCGUAGAUAUCGAGAGGAACACCUGCGGCGAAGGCGGGUAGCUGGGCCGAUACUGACGCUGAGGAGCGAAAGCGUGGGGAGCGAACAGG
rnacentral:rRNA from 1 species